rnacentral:rRNA from 1 species
GUGGGGAAUAUUGGACAAUGGGCGCAAGCCUGAUCCAGCAAUGCCGCGUGGGUGAAGAAGGUCUUCGGAUCGUAAAGCCCUUUCGACAGGGACGAUGAUGACGGUACCUGUAGAAGAAGCCCCGGCUAACUUCGUGCCAGCAGCCGCGGUAAUACGAAGGGGGCUAGCGUUACUCGGAAUUACUGGGCGUAAAGGGCGCGUAGGCGGCUCUGUUAGUCAGGCGUGAAAUUCCUGGGCUUAACCUGGCGGCGGCGCUUGAUACUGCAGGGCUUGAGGCCGAGAGAGGGUGGUGGAAUUCCCAGUGUAGAGGUGAAAUUCGUAGAUAUUGGGAAGAACACCGGUGGCGAAGGCGACCACCUGGCUCGGUUCUGACGCUGAGGCGCGACAGCGUGGGGAGCAAACAGGAUUAGAUACCCUUGUAGUCC